AUGGAACUACAAUUGUGGGUGGACUAUGACGAGGAGGAAACAAGGAUCAAUGUGACCUUGGCUCCACUCCAUGUCGGAAAACCCUUGAAGCCACUAUUGUCUGCAACCUAUGACCUCUCAACUGUGCUCACGGAGACAGCAUAUAUUGGUUUCUCAUCUACUGCUGAACUUACAAACACUAGUCAUUAUGUUCUUGGAUGGAGCUUCGGUAUGAACAUGCAAGCUCCGUCCAUUGACAUCUCCAAGCUUCCUAAGUUGCCUAGUGUUGGCGAAAAGGCCCAGCCAAAGCUCUUGGCGAUCAUCCUCCCAAUAGCAACUGCAGCAUUGAUCAUGUCUAUCGGCACUCUCGUCAUUCUGAUGGUGCGAAGAAGAAGAAGAAGGUAUAGUGAGGUGCGCGAGGAUUGGGAGAGCGAGUUCGGCCCACACCGAUUCUCGUACAAGGAUUUGUUCAAUGCUACUCAAGGAUUUAAGAGCAAGAACCUGGUUGGAGCAGGAGGGUUCGGGGAGGUAUACAAAGGGCUGCUUCAGUUUUCCAAGAAGGAGAUCGCCGUGAAGAGGAUGUCCCACGAGUCGAGACAAGGGAUGAAGGAGUUCAUCACCGAGGUUGUUAGCAUUGGCCGGUUGCGACAUCGCAACCUAGUGCAGCUACUUGGUUAUUGCAGGCGGAAAGGUGAACUGAUGUUGGUGUACGACUACAUGUCAAAUGGCAGCCUCGACAAGUACAUACACUAUCAACAGGACGACAAGCCCACCUUAAAUUGGGCUCAGAGGUUUCAGGUCAUCAAGGGUAUCGCUACCGGCUUGCUCUACCUGCACGAGAAGUGGGAGAAAGUCGUGGUGCACCGGGACAUCAAGGCAAGCAACGUCCUCCUCGACGAUGAAAUGAAUGGGCGGCUCGGCGACUUCGGCCUCGCCCGGUUAUAUGAUCACGGCACCGAUCCACAGAGCACACACAUGGUCGGCACGAUGGGGUACCUUGCCCCCGAGCUAGUGCGCACGGGCAAGGCGUCCCCUCUUACCGAUGUGUAUGCCUUCGGCAUGUUUCUUCUUGAAGUUACAUGUGGGCAAAAGCCUGUCAGGCAAGGUCCUACAGUGGAAAACCAGGUUUUCUUGGUGGACUGGGUCCUGGAGCACUGGAACAACCGACUGCUUAGCAGGACGGUGGACGCACGGCUCCAGGGUGACUACGGCGUUGACGAAGCGUGCCUCGUGCUGAAGAUAGGACUUUUGUGCCUGCACCCCUUUCCUGGUUCGAGGCCUAGCAUGCGACAAGUCAUGCAGUACCUCGACGGCGAGACCCCUCUGCCAGAGAUGACGACGACGCAGCUGAGCGUGGAGAUGCAGGGGUUGAUGCAGGACAGCGGGUUCAGCACAUCCGUCAUGUCUUACCCCCAGCUGAUGUCCAGCUUUGGGGCAGUGUCCGACCUCUCUGGAGGACGAUGA
rnacentral:rRNA from 1 species